rnacentral:rRNA from 1 species
GUGAGGAAUUUUCCGCAAUGGGCGAAAGCCUGACGGAGCAAUGCCGCGUGAAGGAUGAAGGCCUAUGGGUUGUAAACUUCUUUUCUCAGAAAAGAAUUAUGACGGUAUCUGAGGAAUAAGCAUCGGCUAACUCUGUGCCAGCAGCCGCGGUAAGACAGAGGAUGCAAGCGUUAUCCGGAAUGAUUGGGCGUAAAGCGUCUGUAGGUUGUUUAAAAAGUAUUCUGUCAAAGAUUAGGGCUUAACCCUAGAUAGACAGAAUAAACUUUUAAGCUAGAGUUUGGUAGAGGCAGAGGGAAUUCCCGGUGGAGCGGUGAAAUGCGUAGAUAUCGGGAGGAACACCAAAGGCGAAGGCACUCUGCUGGGCCAAUACUAACACUGAGAGACGAAAGCGAGGGGAGCAAAUGGGAUUAGAAACCCGUGUAGUCC